rnacentral:rRNA from 1 species
GGAAAGAUAGUAGCCCUCAAAUAAUAAUGCCGGCCAAAA